rnacentral:lncRNA from 1 species
UAAUUACAUCAACUCUACUUUGACAUUCCACCUUUUCACCGAGCGUUCCUAGCGCAAGUAGCAAAGGGUUUGAUGAUUGAUAUCCGAGGUCCCAAAUUCGAAUCCUAGUUGAUUUACAUUUCCAGCUAAGUUUAUUUCUAAAUAAAAUAAACAAAACGGGUAGCAUGCUAUCUAUCUCUAAAAAAAAAAAAGAAAAAAAAAAAGACAUUUCACCUUUUCGAAAGUCAUUGGGCUCGGAUAAAACUGAUAUACGCCCUUAGCCCUUCUAUUUGGAAAAGUAUUUUCAUGUAAUAAAUAUUCCAUAUAGAAUAUGCUUUAGUUGGUUCGGAUAUAAAUAAUAACGGUUUAUUUUCAAAAUAGAUAUAAAUACAGAUAUAAAUAGAAACUAAAUUAAUUUUAUAUUUGAAUGAAAAUUUUAUAUUAUUUGGGAAUACAAUAAAUGGUGUUUGAAUGGUUAGAUUGGAGUGAGAAAUAAAAGUUAUAAUUUAAAAUUAAAAAUAUUUUAUCUAAUUAAUUAAUAUCAAAAUAUUAGUUAAAAAUAAUUUAA